AUUGAACGCUGGCGGCAUGCUUUACACAUGCAAGUCGAACGGUAACAGGCCUUCGGGUGCUGACGAGUGGCGAACGGGUGAGUAAUGCAUCGGAACGUACCCAGAGGUGGGGGAUAACGCAGCGAAAGCUGUGCUAAUUCCGCAUGUGAUCUGAGGAUGAAAGCGGGGGACCGAGCAGCAAUGUUUGGCCUCGCGCCUUUGGAGCGGCCGAUGUCGGAUUAGCUAGUUGGUGGGGUAAAGGCCUACCAAGGCGACGAUCCGUAGCUGGUCUGAGAGGACGACCAGCCACACUGGGACUGAGACACGGCCCAGACUCCUACGGGAGGCAGCAGUGGGGAAUUUUGGACAAUGGGCGCAAGCCUGAUCCAGCAAUGCCGCGUGCGGGAAGAAGGCCUUCGGGUUGUAAACCGCUUUUGGCAGGAACGAAACGGUGUCCGCUAAUACCGGGCGCUAAUGACGGUACCUGCAGAAUAAGCACCGGCUAACUACGUG
rnacentral:rRNA from 1 species